rnacentral:rRNA from 1 species
GGGAAUCUUCCACAAUGGACGCAAGUCUGAUGGAGCAACGCCGCGUGAGUGAAGAAGGUUUUCGGACCGUAAAGCUCUGUUGUUGGUGAAGAAGGAUAGAGGUAGUAACUGGCCUUUAUUUGACGGUAAUCAACCAGAAAGUCACGGCUAACUACGUGCCAGCAGCCGCGGUAAUACGUAGGUGGCAAGCGUUGUCCGGAUUUAUUGGGCGUAAAGCGAGCGCAGGCGGAAGAAUAAGUCUGAUGUGAAAGCCCUCGGCUUAACCGAGGAAUUGCAUCGGAAACUGUUUUUCUUGAGUGCAGAAGAGGAGAGUAGAACUCCAUGUGUAGCGGUGGAAUGCGUAGAUAUAUGGAAGAAUACCAGUGGCGAAGGCGGCUCUCUGGUCUGCAACUGACGCUGAGGCUCGAAAAGCAUGGGUAGCGAACAGGAUUAGAUACCCUGGUAGUCCAUGCCGUAAAACGAUGAGUGCUAAGUG